rnacentral:rRNA from 1 species
AAAUUGAAGGGUUUGAUCAUGGCUCAGAUUGAACGCUGGCGGCAGGCCUAACACAUGCAAGUCGAACGGUAACAGAAAGCAGCUUGCUGCUUUG